rnacentral:lncRNA from 1 species
AUGAGUCAGCGAGAGAUACACAUCUUCUGUGAUGCCUCUGAGCGGGCUUAUGGCUCAGUCCCUUAUCUCCGCACAGAGGAUCAAUGUGGGGAGGUAGAGGUGGCCUUCCUCACAGCCAGGUCACGAGUGGCACCCAAAAAACAGCAGUCGAUCCCCCGUCUGGAACUCUGUGCUGCACUGACUGGGGCACAGCUGGCUAAAGUAGUCAGAACAGAACUGAACCUUCCCAUACACCAACUCACUCUGUGGACUGACUCCACCACAGUUCUCACUUGGCUGCAUUCAGACUCUUGCCGAUUCAAAGUGUUUGUUGGAACUAGAGUUGCUGAGAUCCAGGACAUUACAGACCAGCACACAUGGCGUUAUGUUCCUUCAACCUAUAACCCAGCAGAUGACAUAACACGGGGGAAAAGCCUAUGUAAGCUAGGGCCAGAUAGCCAUUGGUACCAAGGGCCAUCCUUUCUCAAAGGUCCUCCAAAUCAGUGGCCAGAAAUCCCACACCCCAUGCCUGCAGACGAAAGUGAGCUUCGUAAAACAGUUCCCUGCCUCCUUACCUGCUUCACAGCCAGCUUGUCAUUCCCUGACUUCAGCCAGUAUAAGACAUUUGAAGAGCUACUGGAGUCCAGGGCCUGUCAUGGGGCGGCAGGCAAUCCAACAGCUGAUGACUACAAGAUGGCGGAAAUCAGUGUCCUACAGCAAGCUCAGGAAGAGUGUUUCCCCUCUGAACUGGAGCAGUUAAAGGCAGAUAAAUCACUUCCCAGAAACAGUCGGCUAAAGGCACUGGCCCCUGAACUGAACCAUGAUACACAGCUAAUCAGGGUAGGAGGUCGCCUUCGCUGUAGCCCUUAUCUAGAUCCUGAUACUGUGCACCCCAUUGUCCUAGACCCAAAACACCCAGUGUCCAAACUGCUCAUACAGAGUUAUGACACUAAACUCCAUCAUCCAGGCCCAGAAAGAGUCUUUGCAGAGCUUCGGCGAAAAUACUGGAUUCUUCGCGGCAGAGAGGCAAUCAAACGUUGUCAGAGGACUUGUGUGGAGUGCCAGAAGUGGAGAAGAAACCCUGAAGUCCCAAAAAUGGCAGACCUCCCUCCAGCCAGAUUACGUUUAUUUAAGCCUGCUUUCUACUCAACAGGAAUGGAUUGCUUUGGUCCAUAUACUGUCAAAGUAGGUCGCAGAAAUGAAAAGAAAUGGGGCAUCCUGUUCAAAUGUCUUACUACAAGGGCUGUUUACAUUGACAUCCUUCAUAGCCUUGACUCUGAUUCAUUCCUUAUGGCUCUCAGACGAUUCAUCGCUAGACGAGGCAAGCCAUUCGAGCUAUUAUCGGAUCAAGGGACUAACUUCAAAGGAGGGGAGAGAGAACUGAAGGAAGCAUACGCAGCUAUCGUCCCUGAAUUGCAACAGCAACUGGCAAGCCAGCAAAUACAAUUCCACUUCAAUCCCCCUAAUUCUCCACAUUUUGGUGGCAGCUGGGAAAGAGAGAUUCGCUCCCUUAAACAGGCCUGGAUGACAACACUUGGUGCCCAGUCUGUCACCUUCGAAGUAAUGUACACUGUGCUGGUGGAGAUUGAAGGGAUCUUAAAUUCCAAGCCACUAGGCUACAGUUCAUCUGACAUUUCUGAUCUAGACCCUAUCACACCAAAUUCCCUUCUCAUGGGGCGGCCAGAUUCAUCACUUCCUCCUGUAAUAUACCCUGAAUCUGAACUGAUCAGUCGACGCAGAUGGCGUCAUAGUCAAGUCCUUGCCGACCAAUUCUGGAGGCGCUUCAUCAGGUUCUACCUUCCCAGCCUCCAGACCCGCCAGAAGUGGCAAGAUGAGACAUCUGAUCUCCAGGUUGGCACCAUUGUCCUGAUUGUCGACCCCCAACUGCCCAGAGCCACUCUGGCCAGUGGGCCAGGUGUCGAAGGUAUUCCCUGGAGUAGACCGCAGAGUAAGAGCAGCAGAAAUUAA